UACGUAGGGGGCAAGCGUUGUCCGGAAUCAUUGGGCGUAAAGAGCGUGUAGGCGGUUCGGUAAGUCGGCUGUGAAAGUCCAGGGCUCAACCCUGGGAUGCCGGUCGAUACUGCCGGACUAGAGUUCGGAAGAGGCGAGUGGAAUUCCCGGUGUAGCGGUGGAAUGCGCAGAUAUCGGGAGGAACACCUAUGGCGAAGGCAGCUCGCUGGGACGUUACUGACGCUGAGACGCGAAAGCGUGGGGAGCAAACAGG
rnacentral:rRNA from 1 species